rnacentral:rRNA from 1 species
GUGAGGAAUAUUGCGCAAUGGAGGCAACUCUGACGCAGCCAUGCCGCGUGCAGGAAGAAGGCGCUACGCGUUGUAAACUGCUUUUAACCGGGAAGAAACCCCAGGACGUGUCCUGGGUUGACGGUACCGGAGGAAUAAGCACCGGCUAACUUCGUGCCAGCAGCCGCGGUAAUACGAAGGGUGCAAGCGUUAUCCGGAUUCAUUGGGUUUAAAGGGUGCGUAGGCGGAGCGUUAAGUCAGUGGUGAAAUCCUGCAGCUUAACUGUAGAAUUGCCAUUGAUACUGGCGCUCUUGAGUGCGCUUGAAGUGGGCGGAAUGUGCCGUGUAGCGGUGAAAUGCUUAGAUAUGGCACAGAACACCAAUUGCGAAGGCAGCUCACUAAGGCGAUACUGACGCUGAGGCACGAAAGCGUGGGGAUCGAACAGGAUUAGAUACCCCUGUAGUCC